rnacentral:piRNA from 1 species
GAAUAACACAUGAAUGAGCUUUUUUAAUAG